rnacentral:rRNA from 1 species
GACGAACGCUGGCGGCGUGCUUAACACAUGCAAGUCGAACGGUGAAAGGGAGCUUGCUCCCUGGAUCAGUGGCGAACGGGUGAGUAACACGUGGGCAACCUGCCCCAGACUUCGGGAUAACGCUUCGAAAGGAGUGCUAAUACCGGAUACGAACUCCUUGGGCAUCCUUGGGGUUGGAAAGUUUUUCGGUCUGGGAUGGGCCCGCGGCCUAUCAGCUUGUUGGUGAGGUAACGGCUCACCAAGGCGACGACGGGUAGCCGGCCUGAGAGGGCGACCGGCCACACUGGGACUGAGACACGGCCCAGACUCCUACGAGAGGCAGCAGUGGGGAAUAGUGCGCAAUGGGCGAAAGCCUGACGCAGCAACGCCGCGUGAGGGAUGACGGCCUUCGGGUUGUAAACCUCUUUCAGCAGGGAAGAAGCGAAAGUGACGGUACCUGCAGAAGAAGCACCGGCUAACUACGUGCCAGCCGCCGCGGUAA